CCGGAUUGAUUGUGUUAAAAGCAGUCUUUAUUAGAUAUCGGUACAAACAAUUAAUCCCUUUCAAAAUAUUCCCUUUUUGAGGUUAUACACUUAUGCCAACGUUUCUGUCAUUGAUUUUCUAAACGAAUCUUUGGAAAUACUCCUCAGACGCGUUAUUAUAUUCGUUCAAUACAUUUGAACAUCGCACAUUGCUUACUCCGUGAGGAAUAUUCUUUUAGCAACGUAGCGCAGUUCUAUAGUUAAACAGUUACCUUAUUCAUCUGACAUGACUUCCUGCAGUUUCUGGCUCUUUCCACAAUUGAAAGUGUUACCAAAAGGGCGAAGAUUCGAUGACAUUGAGACGACAAAGGCGAAUACAAUGAAAUAUAAGAACAGCAUUCCGAAAAAUUAGAAAAUCUUCAAUGGGAGAAUUUGGCAUAAAUAUCUAACAAAGUUUGCCUUUAACAUAACCAUUUCGGAGAAAUUUUUGCGACUAAGUAUAAAUUAUACAUCGUUAGAAGUGUGCGGAAUCAUGUCUACACUUGGCUGAAACGAAUUAUAUCUCUAUUCUUCUAAUAUCCUAUCUAGCAUUUUUUCAUUUUUUCAGUUAUGUUGAAAAAUUUCCACGUGUUUACGUUUUAGGUAAAGUUAUACACGCUAAUAGGAAAUACUGAGUAGGUGUUUCAAAUUGAGUGAAGACCAAGAUGACACAAACAAAAUGAUAAAACUUUGAUUUUCUUCAGUUUCUGAUUAAAAAAAAAAACGAAUGGUAUGUGUCAGUACCUUUUGCAGCAACUGUACAAGGUGAUUCAUAAAUGUAUGUCCAUACUUCAGGGGAUGAAUCUACACAUUAAAAUAACUUUAAAAAAAACGUCGUAUGAACAUGUCCUAUCAUCUAGAAAACUGUAACGAGCCAGCGAGAAUAGAAUACUGACUACCUGAAAUUUGAUUUCAUUAAUAUUAAUUGAUAUUGCUUAGCACAUGUUGCACUCUGACUGAACGGCUUGCAAGUUGGUUACGAUAUGAACUUUGAAUUUACUCACAAGACAACUAACAAAGUCAACUUCGACGAACAUGUUAUCUGUUUUGCUUUUAUAAUAAACAACAGACUUAUUGGAUGACAAACUUGAUAUUUGUUAGAUUCCCAAUGAAUAGAUUUGAUACUUGCUAGAGUGAUAGAUGCUAAGUAUAAGAGUUAGGAUAAAAGAUGGCGGACCAAACUAUACUGUAGAUUUUAUAGAGUGACGAAUCUCAGGAAUGUUCUUCUUUUCAAGAUUCGCGAAAAUUCGAAGAAUAGGCAAUGCUGUUGGGAGUAACACGUGGAUUGGAGAAUUUGCAAGUUACUCGAACUUAGAGAGGUGGCGGAAAAGAACGAUAAUUGGUUACAGGAAAGUUCGUGAAAAUGAACUCUGUCUACUGGUCAUCCUCAGUUAGCGAUUGACUUGGGUCGACGUGCGUGACGUCCGUGCAAUCAGUUAACGGUUCACAAGUGAUGAAAUCAUAAAGCAUGUAGGUCUUGAAAACAUAUUGAUUUGUAGAAUAUAUUUUCUAUAAAUUUUUAGCCAUCUGGGCCACAGCUGCAGAAGACAAACCCAUUGGAUUUAUAAUCCUAUGUUUCCCAGAAGUAGGGAAAAGCUAUUUUUCUACAUAAUUAAAUCGAAUUUAUGAAAAAGAAGAAUAAUGCUUAUAAAACAGGUUUAAAUGUAUUUUUCCCUCAUUUUUAGUUUCUAACAAUGGAAAACUACCAAACUACUACUAACCAUCAUUGUAGGCAGAGCGUAACUCAUAAUGAGACGCAUUUAUAGGAUAACGUCAUCUUUACGAAUACAAUCAUUUUUUCAAUUUUUAUGAAAAAAAGACAAUGACGAAAAAAGAAUUUGCUAAAACAUUCUGGUUAUGAAUAACGGUUAUAAAUGAUCAAAAUAUUUGUGGUUACUGAUAAUAAUUAUAGGUGAUCAAUCAAUCAAAUUAAAAUCAUUAUAUGUGAGACUAUUUUUUUCUUUCGUUUAUCGAUAACCAAUGACCAUUAUCGAUGACAGAAAAAAAUUCUGUCACGAAAAAUGAUUAACGACAACAAGAAAAAAAUUCUUUCAUAUAUAAUGACAAUGGGCAAACAGAAAGAGUUUCUCUUACCGAUAUUAAGUAAUUAAAAAAAAAAAUUCAGUAAUUAAAAAAAAAAUUCUCUCACACACAAUGGUUAUCGAUAAAAAACAUUCUGUUCAUUUAUUUUAUACUAAUUCUUAUGCUGCAACGUUUAGUCAUUUUAGUUACAACUGUUAGAGUCUUUGAACAUUUUUUUUAGUCAUUCCAUAUCUUGGAAAUUAAAGUACGUAGGACACACGUUCACAUAACGUUUUUUACUUAUUUUAAUACGUAAAUCCAUUUCCUGAAGUAUGAACGUGCAUUUCUGAAUCACCUUGUAUAUUUAUAUGCCGAAUUGAGUCUCGAGAUCCCAUUACAAAUACGAGUUUGUAAUCCCUGGAUCCUGCACACCUCUAUAUAUAUUUUAUAUUAGCAGUCAU